rnacentral:rRNA from 1 species
AUCCUCAACGAUGGAUAUCUAGGUUCCUACUACGAUGAAGAACGCAGCGAAGUGCGAUAAGCAAUGCGAAUUGCAGAGCCGAGAGUCAUCAGAUUUUUGAACGUAACUGACACCGGAGAGUUCUCUCUUCGGUAUGCUUCUUUCAGUGUGUGAUUAUCUCAUCACCCAAACCUUAAUGUGAUAGAUGCCCUUCUAUUGCUAAGCUUGAAAGCACUCUGUACUUUGCAGCCGAGGUCGAAAGGCCAAAGCACUCAAUGCAGUAGUCACAUUCUCAAAUGUGAACUCAUUGAGCGUAGAGUCAGUGUAUGUUUACAUACCAGUGCUUGGAUACAUAAAUUUUCUCAGCAUCUGAAAUGAAGUAGGACCACCCGCUGAACUUAAGCAUAUCAUUAAGCGGAGGAAAAGAAACUAACAAGGAUUCCCUCAGUACGGGCGACGGAAGCGGGAAAAGCCCACAUUGGUAAUCUCCGGGCCCUGGCUCGGCGAAUUGUAAUCUGAAGACGGUUAGUCCACCUGGACCGGGCGCCGAAGUGCCGCACGAGAGCGCCGCCAUAGAGGGUGAGAGCCCCGUAUGGUGCCAGGUCCUACCAGGGCUGGUUGUCGAAGAGUCGUGUACUUUGAUACUAGUGCACUAAGCGGGAGAUAAACUUCUUCUAAGGCUAAAUAUAAGUAGGAAACCGAUAGCGAACAAGUACUGUGAAGGAAAGAUGAAAAGCACUUUGGAAAGAAAGUUAAAAGACUUGAAAUCGUUGAGGCGGACCCGGUAGAAAUGUAUUCUAGCGAAACUCUCUGGGAAGCCUGUACGCGGGCCACUUGAGGGUUAGCCGAGACAAGAUGGGGUCGUGCGAUGCCAAAGGCCGUGCGCUAGGGAGCUUGCUCCAGAGUGUGCUGGUUGGGUGUCGCGCGGCUCGAGGGGCUUUGAGCGAUCUUGUCAAAAUGGUUUUUACCGACUCGUCUUGAAACACGAACCAAGGAGUCUAAGACUAACGCGAGUAUGGUGGUGAGAAACCAACAUGCGAAAUGAAAGUAAACGAUGCCAAGCUCCCUGCAGCAUCGACCGACUUUUUUCUUCUGGAAGAGGUUUGAGUAAGAGCGUUAUUCUUAGGACCCGAAAGAUGGUGAACUAUGCCUGUGUAGGGUGAAGUCAGGGGAAACUCUGAUGGAAGCUCGUAGCGAUACUGACGUGCAAAUCGUUCGUCGAACAUGGGUAUAGGGGCGAAAGACUAAUCGAACCAUCUAGUAGCUGGUUCCCUCCGAAGUUUCCCUCAGGAUAGCUGGGACAAGUACGCAGUUUUAUUAGGUAAAGCGAAUGAUUAGAGGCAUCGGGGAUAAAAUGUCCUUGACCUAUUCUCAAACUUUAAAUUGGUAAGAACUCCCGUCUUCUCUUAAUUGAAGCAGGAGGUUCAAUGCGUGUCCUUAGUGGGCCAUUUUUGGUAAGCAGAACUGGCGAUGAGGGAUGCUCCUAACGUUGAGUUAAGGUGCCAAACUACACGCUCAUCAGAAACUACAAAGGGUGUUAGUUCAUGACGACAGCAGGACGGUGGCCAUGGAAGUCGGAACCCGCUAAGGAGUGUGUAACAACUCACCUGCCGAAUGAACUAGUCCCGAAAAUGGAUGGCGCUAAAGCGUGUGACCGAUACUCAACCAUUGGUGCGAGAGUGAUGCAUCAAUGAGUAGGAGGGCGUGGGCGUCGUGGCGAAGCCUCUAGCGUGAGCUUGGGUUGAACGGCGUCUAGUGCAGAUCUUGGUGGUAGUAGCAAUUAUUCAAAUGAGAACUUUGAAGGCCGAAGUGGAGAAGGUUUCCGUGAGAACAGCAAUUGGUCACGGGUGACUCGAUCCUAAGACAUGGGGGAAAUCCUUGUUAAGUGCGCGCAAGCGCGUAGUCGAAAGGGAAUGAGGUUAAUAUUCCUCAAGCUGGAUGUGGGCGUUAAGUGGCAACACAAACGAACUUAGAGCCGCCAGCGUGAGCCUCUGGAAGAGUUGUCUUUUCUUUUUAACAGCUUAGUGCCCCUGAAAUUGGUUUACCCAGAGAUAGGGGGACAUAGCUGGAAGAGCACCCUGCGUUUCGGGGUGUCAGGUGCGCUCAUGAUGGUCCGUGAAAAUCUAAGUGAGAUAGUAUCACACCAGGUCGUACCCACAACCGCAUCAGGUCUCCAAGGUUAGCAGCCUCUGGCCUACUAGAAUAAUGUAGAUAAGGGAAGUCGGCAAAAUAGUUCCGUAACUUCGGGAAAAGGAAUGGCUCUGAGGACAGGGCAGUCAGGGCCUGCCUGGAUGGUCAAGUUGUACUGACUCUGCUUCGCAAGUUGCGGAGCCAGUAAUGACGAACGCCGGACGGACGGGUCGAGCUUGCUCUCCUGCUGCGAUGAACUGUCAACUCAGAACUGGAGCGGACAAGGGGAAUCCGACAGUUUAAUAAAAACCAAGCAUUGUGAUGGCCUUAAAAGGUGAUGACACAAUGUGAUUUCUGCCCAGUGCUCUGAAUGUCAAAGUGAAGAAAUUCGACCAAGCGCGGGUAAACGGCGGGAGUAACUAUGACUCUCUUAAGGUAGCUAAAUGCCUCGUCAUCUAAUUAGUGACGCGCAUGAAUGGAUUAACGAGAUUCCCAC